rnacentral:tRNA from 1 species
GCUGGUGUAGCUCAAUCGGCAGAGCAGCUGAUUUGUAAUCAGCAGGUUGCGGGUUCAAUUCCAGUCACCAGCUCCA